rnacentral:rRNA from 1 species
AUUGAACGCUGGCGGCAUGCUUUACACAUGCAAGUCGAACGGUAACAGGCCGCGAGGUGCUGACGAGUGGCGAACGGGUGAGUAAUGCAUCGGAACGUGCCCAGUCGUGGGGGAUAACGCAGCGAAAGCUGUGCUAAUACCGCAUACGAUCUAUGGAUGAAAGCGGGGGACCGUAAGGCCUCGCGCGAUUGGAGCGGCCGAUGUCAGAUUAGGUAGUUGGUGGGGUAAAGGCCCACCAAGCCAACGAUCUGUAGCUGGUCUGAGAGGACGGCCAGCCACAAUGGGACUGAGACACGGCCCUGACGCCUACGGGAGGCAGCAGAGGGGAAUUUUGGACAAUGGGCGCAAGCCUGAUCCAGCAAUGCCGCGGGCAGGAAGAAGGCCUUCGGGUUGUAAACUGCUUUUGUACGGAACGAAACGGUCUGGGUUAAUACCUCGGGCUGAUGACGGUACCGUAAGAAUAAGCACCGGCUAACUACGUGCCAGCCGCCGCCGUAAAAC